rnacentral:rRNA from 1 species
AUUGAACGCUGGCGGCAGGCUUAACACAUGCAAGUCGAGCGGUAACAGAGAGAAGCUUGCUUUUCUGCUGACGAGCGGCGGACGGGUGAGUAAUGCCUAGGAAUCUGCCUAGUAGUGGGGGAUAACUUGCCGAAAGGUAAGCUAAUACCGCAUAAGUCCUACGGGAGAAAGGAGGGGACCUUCGGGCCUUUCGCUAUUAGAUGAGCCUGGGUCGGAUUAGUUAGGUGGUGAGGUAAUGGCUCACCAAGACCGCGAUCCGUAACUGGUCGGAGAGGAUGAUCAGUCACACUGGAACUGAGACACGGUCCAGACUCCUACGGGAGGCAGCAGUGGGGAAUAUUGGACAAUGGGGGGAACCCUGAUCCAGCCAUGCCGCGUGUGUGAAGAAGGUCUUAGGAUUGUAAAGCACUUUAAGUUGGGAGGAAGAGCAGUUAACUAAUAUUUGACUGUUUUGACGUUACCGACAGAAUAAGCACCGGCUAACUUCGUGCCAGCAGCCGCGGUAACAC